rnacentral:rRNA from 1 species
AGCGAACGCUGGCGGCAGGCCUAACACAUGCAAGUCGAACGAACUCUUCGGAGUUAGUGGCGGACGGGUGAGUAACACGUGGGAACGUGCCUUUAGGUUCGGAAUAACUCAGGGAAACUUGAGCUAAUACCGGAUGUGCCCUUCGGGGGAAAGAUUUAUCGCCUUUCGAGCGGCCCGCGUCUGAUUAGCUAGUUGGUGAGGUAAAGGCUCACCAAGGCGACGAUCAGUAGCUGGUCUGAGAGGAUGAUCAGCCACAUUGGGACUGAGACACGGCCCAAACUCCUACGGGAGGCAGCAGUGGGGAAUCUUGCGCAAUGGGCGAAAGCCUGACGCAGCCAUGCCGCGUGAAUGAUGAAGGUCUUAGGAUUGUAAAAUUCUUUCACCGGGGACGAUAAUGACGGUACCCGGAGAAGAAGCCCCGGCUAACUUCGUG